GCGGUUGUAACCAAGUGAAUCAAGGCAGUAGAUUGUGAAUCCACCACGCACGGGUUCAAUCCCUGUCGUUCGCC
rnacentral:tRNA from 1 species